AGCAGGAUAGCACAGCGGAAGUGCGUGGGGCUCAUAACUCCAAGGUCCCAGGUUCGAACCCUGGUUCUGCUA